AUUAUUUUUCUAAAAAAAAAAAAAAUCUGUUCUUAUCAGUUUAAUAUCUGAUACGUCCCCCAUCGGGGGACUACAUAUUAAAUGGAUUUUUCGAACAGGGAGUCGGAAAUGGGGCUUGCUCCGUCCGCUCCACGCAUCGACCCGGUAUUGCAGUACCUCCGGGAACGGUGCAACACUU
rnacentral:snRNA from 13 species